rnacentral:rRNA from 1 species
UGCCAGCCGCCGCGGUAACACGGAGGGUGCAAGCGUUGUUCGGAAUUAUUGGGCGUAAAGCGCGUGUAGGCGGUUCGUUAAGUCUGAUGUGAAAGCCCGGGGCUCAACCCCGGAAGUGCAUUGGAAACUGGCGAACUUGAGUACGGGAGAGGAAAGUGGAAUUCCGAGUGUAGGGGUGAAAUCCGUAGAUAUUCGGAGGAACACCAGUGGCGAAGGCGACUAACUGGACCAGAAUUGACGCUAAGGUGCGAAAGCGUGGGGAGCAAACAGGAUUAGAUA